rnacentral:rRNA from 1 species
UACAGAGGGUGCAAGCGUUGCUCGGAUUUACUGGGCGUAAAGCGUACGCAGACGGCAAGGCAGGUCGGAUGUGAAAGCCCCGGGCUCAACCCGGGAAAUGUAUCCGAAACCUCCUUGCUCGAGUAUGAGAGAGGGAAGCGGAAUUCCUGGUGUAGAGGUGAAAUUCGUAGAUAUCAGGAGGAACAUCGGCGGCGAAGGCGGCUUCCUGGCUCAUUACUGACGUUCAGGUACGAAAGCGUGGGUAGCAAACAGG